AUUGAACGCUGGCGGAAUGCUUUACACAUGCAAGUCGAACGGCAGCACGGGGGCAACCCUGGUGGCGAGUGGCGAACGGGUGAGUAAUACAUCGGAACGUGCCCGGUCGUGGGGGAUAACGUAGCGAAAGUUACGCUAAUACCGCAUACGAUCUGAGGAUGAAAGCGGGGGACCUUCGGGCCUCGCGCGAUCGGAGCGGCCGAUGUCAGAUUAGGUAGUUGGUGGGGUAAAGGCCUACCAAGCCGACGAUCUGUAGCUGGUCUGAGAGGACGACCAGCCACACUGGGACUGAGACACGGCCCAGACUCCUACGGGAGGCAGCAGUGGGGAAUGUUGGACAAUGGGCGCAAGCCUGAUCCAGCCAUUCCGCGUGCAGGACGAAGGCCUUCGGGUUGUAAACUGCUUUUGUAUGGAACGAAAAGGCUCUGGCUAAUACCCGGGGCUCAUGACGGUACCGUAAGAAUAAGCACCGGCUAACUACGUG
rnacentral:rRNA from 1 species